GCCGGGGUGGCCCAGUCUGGUCACGGCGCCGGCUUGCUAAGCCGGUUGCGCGUAAGCGCUUCCUGGGUUCAAAUCCCAGCCCCGGCGCCA
rnacentral:tRNA from 1 species